AGAAUGAUCCUUCCGUCAGGGUCAGCGAGAUGAUUUGAGCAGUAAGACCAAGACGGGCAUAGGAGGUUCAUGAUUGGGCUGAGGGAUGGUUCUUUAAUAUGGGUUUCUAAAAGGGCGCCUAAACUAAUAUGGUGAGUAGCUAUCCACCUCCGAAAGUUUGAAUGUUUAGCAGAUUCAUUAAUACCUCUGACAUUCCAAAAAAAUAUGUUUUCUAACAUAUUAAAAUUUUAUAGGUUGUGGGUCUCUCCUUCUGAUAGGAAAGAACCCACUGCGGGGGUAAUGGAGGUGAAGGAAGGAGGUGAAAGGGGCGGAGGAUCAAGAGAAGGGGCUGAUUCAGUGACGGUAGAUGGGGUAGAGGAUUGGAGCGCAAGGCAGGC
rnacentral:lncRNA from 1 species